rnacentral:tRNA from 1 species
GGAGGAUUCGCCUAGUGGCCUAUGGCGCCGCACUGCUAAUGCGGUUGGGGUUCGCCCCUCCCGGGUUCAAAUCCCGGAUCCUCCG